GGCGACGUAGCUCAGGUGGUAGAGCAAGGGUCUCAUAAUCCCUGUGUCGGAAGUUCGAGUCUUCCCGUCGCCA
rnacentral:tRNA from 1 species